AGCCCUGUGGUGUAAACAUAUUGGGUUGCAAGCCCAAGGAUGCAGAUUAGUAGUCUGCCGGGGCUU
rnacentral:tRNA from 1 species